CCCGCUGCCUCCUGGUGCUGCCUCCCACACACACAGGCCGCUCCUGCAAGAGGCAAGGAGGAGGCUCCUGAGUAGGGACUCUCCCUUCUCCAGCCUCUAAUCCUCCUUUGGAUGUUACCAGGGGGUAAUGUGAUUAAUGUGACCGUAAGAUGCUGGAGACGUCAGAAUUCUCCAGUCACUCACCUCAACAGUAGUGAUACCACGUGAGCCAGGGAAGAUUCCCGUAACAUCACCUACAGCACACAGGGAGUAUCCCAAGUGACUGUGUCAGAAGCUGGGAAUGUGUGACGGGGGUUGGAUCGUUUGAUGUUUCCCUGUUCUACUCAUUCCUCUGGGCCACCUGGCAAUGGCCACUGUCGGCAGACAGGACACUGGGCUAGAUGGACCGUUGGUCUGACCCAGUGCGGCCGCUCUUACGUUCUCAUCGGCUGGACCACGGACAGAGGAGAAGUCACAAGAGAAAAAGGGAUUUCACACUAGCACAUGGCCCCAGAGCAAGAAACUGAAAGCAAGCAAAUGCCACAGGCCAGCCUUUUUUAAGCAAAUGUUUAUUUAUAUCAAAAUACAAAACAUUUCUGAAGCAAAGUAAUGUUACAUGAGGAGCAAUUCAAUGUUAAACGUUAUCGAUUCCAAAAUCCGUCGUUCUCCUACAGAAUGGCUAGUUUUACGUAACAUUGCAACACUGCCAUAAUUUCUUAAUUGGGUACAUUUUUUUUUAAAUCAAAUCUAUGGUCAUGCAAUGUUACUGGUGAUGAGUUGUUUAGUACUCAGCAGGCCUUAAAAUACCAGCAAGUGAAGGUCUAGGGACUAGCCAGUCACAUUAAGGCAGGGCUUCACAUUAAUUUCCCCCUAACGUUAGACUCUGUGUUUCAAUUGGCAGUAGCCCAAGUGCCUCAGCGGCCAACAUCCUUGGCAGACUGACAGAGUGGAUUUAUUGCUUAGAGCCACCCAACCAGAAGCGGGUAGGAGUUGCCUCCAGUGAAUGUGAAUCAGGUUAGCUCUUCAUUUGGGACAGGCAAAGAGUGCCGGGGAGAAGGACGACUAAAUGCUGUUUGACAGAGAGAACCAGGCAAAGUCAGUGUUUCUUUGGCCCGAGCAGGUCUAGUGCCAGCAUGGCUGAGUUGGAAGAUUUCUCCCGCUAGAGCCAAAUUCCCUUGUUCUGUAACACCCAGGCCCAGCCACAGACCUCAAAAGUGGAGUGCAUCAGUGCAGGGGGCAAGAAUUGGGCCUGCAAACUCAUCAAGGGAAACACUAAGAUUCCUGAGGGUUCUCUGCAGUCAGCUUCCCAGGAGACAGCCUGGGAGGGGAGCAAAAAGGAGCUGUCCCUCCCCAGGAGGUUGCAUUGACCCUCCGAGACCCAAGAGGAAACAUCCCUGUUUCCUCCCCUCAUUACACUGUCAAGGGCCAGACAAAACUUGACCAAUGUCCUUCCCCAGCAGAAAUGAGGCUCCCUGUCCGGGCUCUGGAGUGACAAAAUACUGGCACUAGCUAAACUUCCAGGGCCAAGUCCAGGACCUUACUGCCCCCUGCUGGUAUUUUACAGACCUUCACAAAAACAGAGGCUGAGAGCAACAAUACAGCUAUCGGGAGAUUAUAUAGAGCGCAGAAUAAGUUUUGUAUAAGGCUUUGGUACAGCACCAUCAUGUCUUGGAUUUAUUUCUAAAUCGUUUACAGAAAAAAAAAAGCUUACUGAAAAAAUAGUGUUCUGUUUUUCUUCUUUUUUUUUAAUUUUAUUCUCUUGAAUAACAUACCUGAAGUUAAAAAUUAACCCUCUAGUUGCCAUUCGGGCUCAGGUCGCCUAUUUUUGCUGUGUGCAUCUGUGCAAUUUCGACACAAAAAGGAAUACGAAACUCAAAAACUAUUGUUAACCUGGUACACAGCCUGCACAACUUGCAGCAGCGACCGGCAUCGUCGCUACAUGGGCCGGGCCCAGUGGCUAAGAUUUGACAUGCACAUGUCAGCAACCGAGAUCACGGAAGUUCAGUUCAAAUCACGAACCUUUAUUAAAGAAAGAAAACCACAACAACGCACAUUAAGGAACCAGUGGGACAAAAGUUUCUUUUAUUAUUGUUAUUUAAAAAAAGUCAGUUCCACUGGCUACCAUUUAAACAGCACCAAAGAGCACCCUAAUGUGUGUUAUACAUUGUAAUACUCGACAUUCAAAAAAUGGAGACGAGGUUGAAUGGUCUUCAAGGGUUAAAGUCAUUUUUAAAUAUAGGCAAGUUGUCUGAAAAAGAAAGAAAUAAAAAAAAUACCCUACACAACAGAAGAUCACUUGGAGUUCUACAAAAAAAACCCACUGGUUGAACAGGGAAUUAAACCGUUAGAGGUCUGUGGAAAUUCAACAGGGUUCCACAGGCUCUAAACUUAUCACAUUGAAUAGAAAAUGAUAAGCUUUAUAUAGGAGUUGCAAACUAGCCUACACAAUUCUAUAGGGAUAUAAUUUCCUACUAAAUUCCAUAGGAUGACUCAAGAGACCAACAGAAAAGUGGUCAUUGGUUAUUAAAAUUCAGUAGGGUUUUCCCACAAGAGAAAUACAAACAAAGUCUGCACAGAAAGUCCUAAGUUGUCUUGUCUUAAAUUUUGAGACUGAGUGGUAGAUACGGCAUCCAUGCCCCAUCGUAGGGUCAUUCUAAAAGAAGAGUAAGUAGUUACUAAGCACAGGGGAGAAAGGAGGGUGUGUAUGCGAAGCCCAUAGAGGGGAAAAAACUGAUGGGGGGGAAAAAGCAUCUCCAAGACCACCAGCCCGUCUAGAUCCAUUCUGCAGUCAGCAGCCCUCAUGCCUUGCACUGGCCGUUGUGAACAUCACCGGGCAGAAGUGGGGUUGGACCAGUGUUCCCUGUAAGCUGGGCGCUGUUGUGACCAUUCAGGUGAAAUUCAAAUGCUGCCCAGCAGAUUAGCAGAGUGCCCAUCAAUAGGAUUUUUGUUUCUUCUGGUGGUGCACAUGCCUCAGCGCACAUAAAAUGUAUUCCACGCAUGGAUGAAACGAUUAGAGGGAACAUUGGUUGGGACUGUGACCUGAAAGGUUAGGUAGGCCCUUAAGCAUAUCUGGGCAGGAGAAUGGAUGGGACAUUCCAACCAAGCAGUCACACGGCAGAUCUAACACAAAAGAGUGCUCAGGAAAAACCCUUCGUUACCUCUGAUCCUCUAGGAGGCUUCCACGUAAGCUCUCUAGGUAUUACAAGGCCCAUAAUGAAAAGCCUUUGACUCCCUGUGUUCACGUCCCCUCCCUUUUACUUCUCAUUUAAAGGUUUUUAAAAAUCCUGAAGUUACCAGAACCACCAUUUAAAGCAAAUCCCUCCAACACUUCGCCCCGCAAGAACCCCAACCAAAGCCUGCACUGCACUGGACGGGGGCACGGCAGAUGGAUGGACACUGGGGCUGGUGAUUAAAAAAACAAACAAACAAAAAAGAAAGUGGACAGACGCAUGUCUCCAAGGUUUCUCCCUAAAUGCUAGUGCAUCAGGUUGGAAACGAGGUGCCGUUGGUUUGCAUUUGGCAUCAAGAGAGUUAAUAUUACUGUAGAAAGUGUGCUUCAUAAACGUCUUUUCUCCAUUAUUUUUCCUCUUUUUUUCUGUAAGUGAUUUCCGGGGUGGGGGGGAAGAUGGGGGAAAUGGGAAAGCUGCUAACACCCCUGCCCCCUCCCAAAAAAACCAUCACAAUGUGAGUGUCCCAAGCUCAGAGAGCUGUCAGCCACACAAGCGAACAAGGUAACCAAGGACAGCCCUUGUCCUUCUGACUGUUUCACUUGUUUACUGCUACUCAAUGCAAUCUAGACGUGCCAUCUACCAUGCUUUUCUUUGAACAAAUCUUGGCUCGUCAUUAGAAACACUCCCUUAAAAAAAAAAAAAAAAAAAAGAAUAAAAGAUCAAGAAA